UUCAUUCCGUUAUCUUUGUUCAACGCUCUUAUCAACAGGAGGUUAUAUGACAUGUAGUGUUCUGAAACGAAAUGUGUGCGAUGUUAAUUCUCCAUGGCAAAAUGUUCACCAGGAUGAGACUUCUGCUGAUGGUUUUAUACGUUCUAAGUGCGUCAUGUGGUCAGAAGCAGCCGACAGGUACGUUCGGACGAGACUUUUAUAUUGGAAUUUUGAAAACGUUCAACGAUCAAGAUCCUCAAUUUUCUCUUCUCAUUACGUCAAAUACCUCUGGAAUAGCAACUAUAUACAUCCCAUAUUUAGGUGUGAAUACUACCCGAAGCUUCAAGCAAAGUCUGGAAUAUAAAGUAACAGGAGACACAAUUACGACAGUUAACACGACGGUUGAAAGGAAAGGAAUACAUGUGACAACAGACGUCGAUGUAACUCUUGUUGUAAUUAAAUACCCAGGCAGUACCUGGGAAGGGUUCCUUGCACUUCCUGUUACAAUGCUGUCGACUAAGUACGUUAUAGCGUCGUAUCAAUCGUACUUUACAGGUUACAACAGCAACUUUCUGAUCGUUUCUGUACAUGAUAACAUAGAUAUAGAAAUACAUGUUAACAGCAGUAAAUAUUCAGUCUCUAUGAAUCGGUUAGAUACAUAUCUAUUUAGACGUUAUAAUGAUUUGAGCGGAGUAAUCGUAAAGAGCAAUAAACCUAUCGCCGUGUUUUCUGGGCACGAAGCUGCUAAAGCGCCAAAUACAUGUUCUUUCGGCGGGCAAUAUUUAGAAGAGCAACUUCUCCCGGUAGAACAUUUCGCUCAUGAAUUCAUUGUUUCUCCAACACCGCCUAAAUCUGGAUAUAUAUUUCGGGUAUAUAGUUCUGUCCAAAAUACAAUUGUUACACACAGUAAUACGACAAGUAGUAAAGCAAUAUCUCUGUCGAAAGCUGGGGAUUUUCAUGAAAUAAUCAGUGACAAUGAUCCCAUGUAUGUUAUGACCGACAAACCAGUGCAAGUUAUGCUGUAUGCAGCGUGCAACAAUUACAAAAAUGAUAAUAUUGGUGACACAUUCAUGACCAUAGUACCAUCAAUUACACAGUUUACAAGUUCCUAUCACUUUACGGUGUUUUCAUCCUCCAAACAAUUUAUAUAUACUCAUUAUCUAAUUAUUACUUCAAGGAGCGAGUAUACAUCUGGAUUGAGAAUCAACGGCCAUGAGUUGAGAAACUUAUUCCACACAUAUCAGGUUUCACACACGAAUUUAACAUUCACUGUCAAUGUAUACAAUAUGACAGUCGGUGUGUAUCAUCUACAGCAUGUGCACGGUUUAACCUUCGGAGCCAUACAGUACGGUUUUUUCAGCGGCGUGGCAUACGGAUAUGUCUUGGGCAUGGAUACUUUCAAAGACUGCGGAAUGCUAAAUGCCCCCCGUAAUGGUAAAGUGUCAACUGAUAAUGGAACUACAUACCAGUCAACAGCAAUGUUCAGCUGCAAUAUUGGGUUUGAAAUGCUUGGAUCGAACAUUUCUGUCUGCCAGGCGAAUUGUGUAUGGAGCAACCAGCCUCCCAAUUGCGUAAUGAGAGACUGCGGAAUGCUAAAUGCCCCCCGUAAUGGUAAAGUGUCAACUGAUAAUGGAGCUACAUACCUGUCAACAGCGAUGUUCAGCUGCAAUACUGGGUUUCAAAUGCUUUGAUCGAACAUUUCUGUCUGCCAGGCGAAUGGUUUCUGGAGCAACCAGCCUCCCAAUUGCGUAACGAGAGUUAUGUAGGGAAUUAAUCGCCUGUUACAAUUAGGAUCAUGUAUUGUGGAAGUUUGAGAGCUCCAGUAAAUGGUCAGGUGGACAUUUCAAAUGGUACUUUGGUAGGAAGUCAAGCUGUAUAUAGCUGCAUGUCCGGAUAUGGUCUAAAUGGAGAACAGACGAGAAAGUGUCUAGUAGAUGGGGUAUGGAAUGGUUCGCAGCCGAAAUGUCAGCCGUUAGACGAAGGACUUACCUGUUUAGACUGUAAAGAUAUGUCCCACCUGUACCUAUGUGAUACCGUAACAGCAUGUUCAAAUGGACAGGUCUGUUAUGUGGAAACGUACAAAACCAAUGGUGGUCAAGUGAAAUACAACAGUGGAUGUGUGGACUCUCACGUAUUUAUGAAUCUCAUCAUUCUAAUUGCUGACAAAAUUUUAAUUGCAAACAUUAGCAUACAGG
rnacentral:misc_RNA from 1 species